rnacentral:rRNA from 1 species
UUAAGUUAUUAAGGGCGCACGGUGGAUGCCUUGGCACUAGAAGCCGAUGAAGGACGUUACUAACGACGAUAUGCUUUGGGGAGCUGUAAGUAAGCUUUGAUCCAGAGAUUUCCGAAUGGGGAAACCCAGCAUGAGUUAUGUCAUGUUAUCGAUAUGUGAAUACAUAGCAUAUCAGAAGGCACACCCGGAGAACUGAAACAUCUUAGUACCCGGAGGAAGAGAAAGAAAAUUCGAUUCCCUUAGUAGCGGCGAGCGAAACGGGAAGAGCCCAAACCAACAAGCUUGCUUGUUGGGGUUGUAGGACACUCUAUACGGAGUUACAAAGGACGACAUUAGACGAAUCAUCUGGAAAGAUGAAUCAAAGAAGGUAAUAAUCCUGUAGUCGAAAAUGUUGUCUCUCUUGAGUGGAUCCUGAGUACGACGGAGCACGUGAAAUUCCGUUGGAAUCUGGGAGGACCAUCUCCUAAGGCUAAAUACUCUCUAGUGACCGAUAGUGAACCAGUACCGUGAGGGAAAGGUGAAAAGCACCCCGGAAGGGGAGUGAAAUAGAACCUGAAACCGUGUGCUUACAAGUAGUCAGAGCCCGUUAAUGGGUGAUGGCGUGCCUUUUGUAGAAUGAACCGGCGAGUUACGAUUUGAUGCAAGGUUAAGCAGUAAAUGUGGAGCCGUAGCGAAAGCGAGUCUGAAUAGGGCGUUUAGUAUUUGGUCGUAGACCCGAAACCAGGUGAUCUACCCUUGGUCAGGUUGAAGUUCAGGUAACACUGAAUGGAGGACCGAACCGACUUACGUUGAAAAGUGAGCGGAUGAACUGAGGGUAGCGGAGAAAUUCCAAUCGAACCUGGAGAUAGCUGGUUCUCUCCGAAAUAGCUUUAGGGCUAGCCUCAAGUGAUGAUUAUUGGAGGUAGAGCACUGUUUGGACGAGGGGCCCCUCUCGGGUUACCGAAUUCAGACAAACUCCGAAUGCCAAUUAAUUUAACUUGGGAGUCAGAACAUGGGUGAUAAGGUCCGUGUUCGAAAGGGAAACAGCCCAGACCACCAGCUAAGGUCCCAAAAUAUAUGUUAAGUGGAAAAGGAUGUGGCGUUGCCCAGACAACUAGGAUGUUGGCUUAGAAGCAGCCAUCAUUUAAAGAGUGCGUAAUAGCUCACUAGUCGAGUGACACUGCGCCGAAAAUGUACCGGGGCUAAACAUAUUACCGAAGCUGUGGAUUGUCCUUUGGACAAUGGUAGGAGAGCGUUCUAAGGGCGUUGAAGCAUGAUCGUAAGGACAUGUGGAGCGCUUAGAAGUGAGAAUGCCGGUGUGAGUAGCGAAAGACGGGUGAGAAUCCCGUCCACCGAUUGACUAAGGUUUCCAGAGGAAGGCUCGUCCGCUCUGGGUUAGUCGGGUCCUAAGCUGAGGCCGACAGGCGUAGGCGAUGGAUAACAGGUUGAUAUUCCUGUACCACCUAUAAUCGUUUUAAUCGAUGGGGGGACGCAGUAGGAUAGGCGAAGCGUGCGAUUGGAUUGCACGUCUAAGCAGUAAGGCUGAGUAUUAGGCAAAUCCGGUACUCAUUAAGGCUGAGCUGUGAUGGGGAGAAGACAUUGUGUCUUCGAGUCGUUGAUUUCACACUGCCGAGAAAAGCCUCUAGAUAGAAAAUAGGUGCCCGUACCGCAAACCGACACAGGUAGUCAAGAUGAGAAUUCUAAGGUGAGCGAGCGAACUCUCGUUAAGGAACUCGGCAAAAUGACCCCGUAACUUCGGGAGAAGGGGUGCUCUUUAGGGUUAACGCCCAGAAGAGCCGCAGUGAAUAGGCCCAAGCGACUGUUUAUCAAAAACACAGGUCUCUGCUAAACCGUAAGGUGAUGUAUAGGGGCUGACGCCUGCCCGGUGCUGGAAGGUUAAGAGGAGUGGUUAGCUUCUGCGAAGCUACGAAUCGAAGCCCCAGUAAACGGCGGCCGUAACUAUAACGGUCCUAAGGUAGCGAAAUUCCUUGUCGGGUAAGUUCCGACCCGCACGAAAGGCGUAACGAUUUGGGCACUGUCUCAACGAGAGACUCGGUGAAAUCAUAGUACCUGUGAAGAUGCAGGUUACCCGCGACAGGACGGAAAGACCCCGUGGAGCUUUACUGUAGCCUGAUAUUGAAAUUCGGCACAGCUUGUACAGGAUAGGUAGGAGCCUUUGAAACGUGAGCGCUAGCUUACGUGGAGGCGCUGGUGGGAUACUACCCUAGCUGUGUUGGCUUUCUAACCCGCACCACUUAUCGUGGUGGGA